GCCACUGUCCUAAGGAAGUUUUGGUUUUGGUUUUGCCAGAGAAAGAGGUAGUUCAUAAGAGCAGAGAUAGCUUGAGCUCUUACUAACAAAACUGACGAUUUGAGACAGAGUGUGCAUUAGAGUAUGGUGGUGAUUAUGCGGAGUAUGGUAACUACAUUAUGGCAAUUAGUGGAAUUUUUGGAUGUAGGCAACUUAAAAAGUCCUCUUAGGGUAAGAAUAGAGCUCAGACACUGUCCUCAGACUACUCAUUUAAGAGCCUGAAUUUAUUGGACCAGGCUGUGGAACAGUUAGUGCCCCAGAGAAUUAUUUGAAACAAUUGAGCAAUCAAAUAGUAAUUAGUGAAGCCUAGCAGCUGUUUGUAAUACUAGUAGAGGCAGAGAACCUAGCCAGUAAGGGAAAUUUGUUCAAAUUCUCAGGGCUCUGUUCUCUGAGGAGCAACAUUGGAGGUCUAUGUUGAAGAUCAAAGAGACUUGACUAAAUUGCCAGGCCAAGCUAUUAAAUAAGGAAAAAGCCAAAACAAUAAAAACAAGCCAAGCUGAGUAUGUGGCUUCUACUUGUAAUUCAACAUUUAGAAGUCUGAGGCAGAAGAAUCACCACAAGUUUGAGGACAGCCUGUGCUACCAUGUAAGAGUGGCUCAAGACAAAACAAACACACAUUGCCAGGGUGGACUAGGGGAGUUGGAAUAAGUUCAUAAUUUGGACCUCCCACAGAAACAGAAAAUGAAAAAUAACUUGGAAGACUGAUAUAUAACAAACUAUAAAUAUGUACUUGCAGAGAAAAAAAUGUAAAGUAAUAAUCAUAGCAACAUUUUAGAUGUGGAACAUAUAGUUGCCCUCAGUAUCCUUGGGGAUAGAGGCUUGGGGACAUAGCCUCUACUUGCAGACCAGAGCCAGCAAAUGCUUGUCUCCUUUACAAAGUGGUUCGUAGUACUGUGUGUACCUUGUAUGUGUUCUACUGAAUAUACUAAAUCUUUUCUAGAUUGUUCAUAAUAACUUACACAGUGCAGAUAGUUGUUAUCUGUAUUUUUUAUUGAAUAAUAACCAAAACAAAAGUCUACAAGUUCAGUUCAGACACAGACUUCCUCCCAAAUAUUUUCAAUCUGCAGCUCAUUGAAUUCAUAGAUGUGAAAUCUAUAAGAUCCAGAGUGCCAGCUGUGCAUAGUUAUACUGUGUGUAAUAUUAAUAGCACAAAAAGGAGGAGUGAGGAUAAAGCUGAUUAGGAGUAAUGUUUUAUACAUUACUAUGUCAAUAUGUAGAAAGCUAGCAAGAGAACAUUAGAAAAUAAAAAUUAUUUUAAAAAUUAUAUAUAGUAUAUGUUACUAUAUAUCCGAUGAAAGAUAUAGAAAUAAAAAACAACAGAGAAACAAAAAAAAAUGGUAUAUGUAAAGUGACAAACACAAAUCUAGCUAUAAUCAAUAGCAACAUUAAAUACAAAUAGCUACCUAUUCUAACUAAAAAGCAGAAGUUGUCGGACUUGAGCAAAAAAGAUAAAAAAAAUUGAACUGCAGGAUGUUAGAAUGAGGUACACUGCAGAUUUUAAAUAUAUAAAUAUUCUAAUGGGAGAGAGAUGAGAACAUGGAAAAUGUUCUUCUGCAGAAAGUAACCACAAAGAUGGAUAGUGUCCGGUCCAAAGGAAAUGAGAAAUUUUAAAAUAAGUAACAACAUAUGUUUGAUGAAUAAAAUACAUUUGAUCAGGGUUUAUAUGUUCCUAUAAAGGUGUACUCAGGGGAGGCAAUAGGCAGAGUGGUUUUGGAUGUCAGCAGCAUGGUUUCAUUAUGAGGGAUUCCCCCUUAGAAGGGGCCUCAUGUAUUCUUCUCUCGAGUUUUGACACCAGAUGAAUGAAAUGAGGACAUGACCUCUCCAAGGUAUGGGUGAGGAGAAGGAUUUUAUUGUAGAUGUAAGGGAGAGACAGCCAGAGGCAUCUGGAAGAGUCCAGAGCAGAGAGAGAAAGUAGACUAAACAUGACCAAUAGUCUGAACAUGGCUGGAGAGGGACUGGUAGCAUAAAGG
rnacentral:lncRNA from 1 species